GGCAAGAUAGAACAACUGGUAGUGGGUCAGACCCAUAAUCUGAAGGUUGUAAGUUCAAAUCCUGCUGAAGCUA